AGGACGAACGCUGGCGGCGUGCCUAACACAUGCAAGUCGAACGCGAUCCAUUCGGUAGCAAUACUGAUGAAGAGCGAGUGGCGAACGGGUGAGUAGCACGUGAGCAACCUGCCCCGAAGACUGGGACAACACCGGGAAACCGGUGCUAAUACCGGAUAUCCCUAUUGGAUCGCAUGAUCCGAUAAGGAAAUGUUUUUCGCUUCGGGAGGGGCUCGCGGCCUAUCAGCUAGUUGGUGGGGUAACGGCCCACCAAGGCAUCGACGGGUAGCUGGUCUGAGAGGACGAUCAGCCACACUGGGACUGAGACACGGCCCAGACUCCUACGGGAGGCAGCAGUGGGGAAUCUUGCGCAAUGGGCGAAAGCCUGACGCAGCAACGCCGCGUGGAGGACGAAGGCUUUCUGAGUUGUAAACUCUUUCAGCAGGGACGAUUGUGACGGUACCUGCAGAAGAAGCACCGGCCAACUACGUGCCAGCAGCCGCGGUAAC
rnacentral:rRNA from 1 species